GGCGGCAGGCCUAACACAUGCAAGUCGAGCGCAGUCCUUCGGGACCGAGCGGCGGACGGGUUAGUAACGCGUGGGAACAUACCCUUUUCUACGGAAUAGCCUCGGGAAACUGAGAGUAAUACCGUAUAAGCCCUUCGGGGGAAAGAUUUAUCGGGAAAGGAUUGGCCCGCGUUAGAUUAGAUAGUUGGUGGGGUAAUGGCCUACCAAGUCUACGAUCUAUAGCUGGUUUUAGAGGAUGAUCAGCAACACUGGGACUGAGACACGGCCCAGACUCCUACGGGAGGCAGCAGUGGGGAAUCUUAGACAAUGGGCGCAAGCCUGAUCUAGCCAUGCCGCGUGUGUGAUGAAGGUCUUAGGAUCGUAAAGCACUUUCGCCAGGGAUGAUAAUGACAGUACCUGGUAAAGAAACCCCGGCUAACUCCGUGCCAGCAGCCGCGGUAAUACGGAGGGGGUUAGCGUUGUUCGGAAUUACUGGGCGUAAAGCGUACGUAGGCGGAUCAGAAAGUAGGGGGUGAAAUCCCAGGGCUCAACCCUGGAACUGCCUCCUAAACUCCUGGUCUUGAGUUCGAGAGAGGUGAGUGGAAUUCCAAGUGUAGAGGUGAAAUUCGUAGAUAUUUGGAGGAACACCAGUGGCGAAGGCGGCUCACUGGCUCGAUACUGACGCUGAGGUACGAAAGUGUGGGGAGCAAACAGGAUUAGAUACCCUGGUAGUCCACACCGUAAACGAUGAAUGCCAGUCGUCGGGCAGUAUACUGUUCGGUGACACACCUAACGGAUUAAGCAUCC
rnacentral:rRNA from 1 species